GGAAGGGUCCGUUUGUUGGUUCACGGGUUGAGCUGUAAACUCAAUAGCAUUCGUCUAACGAAGGUUCGAUUCCUUCUCUUCCUA
rnacentral:tRNA from 1 species